GACGAACGCUGGCGGCGUGCCUAAUACAUGCAAGUCGAGCGCAGGAAGCUGACGGAACUCUUCGGAGGGAAGGCAGUGGAAUGAGCGGCGGACGGGUGAGUAACACGUAAGGAACCUGCCUCAAGGAUUGGGAUAACUCCGAGAAAUCGGAGCUAAUACCGGAUAGUUCAACGGACCGCAUGGUCCGCUGAUGAAAGGCGCUCCGGCGUCACCUUGAGAUGGCCUUGCGGUGCAUUAGCUAGUUGGUGGGGUAACGGCCCACCAAGGCGACGAUGCAUAGCCGACCUGAGAGGGGGAUCGGCCACACUGGGACUGAGACACGGCCCAGACUCCUACGGGAGGCAGCAGUAGGGAAUCUUCCACAAUGGACGAAAGUCUGAUGGAGCAACGCCGCGUGAGUGGUGAAGGUUUUCGGAUCGUAAAACUCUGUUGUAAGGGAAGAACACGUACGAGAGGGAAUGCUCGUACCUUGACGGUACCUUACGAGAAAGCCACGGCUAACUACGUGCCAGCCGCCGCGGUAA
rnacentral:rRNA from 1 species